UACAGAGGUGGCAAGCGUUGUUCGGAAUUACUGGGCGUAAAGGGCGCGUAGGCGGCCUUCUAAGUCAGACGUGAAAUCCCCCGGCUUAACCUGGGAACUGCGUCUGAUACUGGGAGGCUAGAGUAUGGGAGAGGGAUGUAGAAUUCCAGGUGUAGCGGUGAAAUGCGUAGAUAUCUGGAGGAAUACCGGUGGCGAAGGCGGCCCCCUGGACCGGUACUGACGCUGAGGCGCGAAAGCGUGGGUAGCAAACGGG
rnacentral:rRNA from 1 species